GAUGAACGCUGGCGGCGUGCUUAACACAUGCAAGUCGAACGGAAAGGCCCAAGCUUGCUUGGGUACUCGAGUGGCGAACGGGUGAGUAACACGUGGGUGAUCUGCCCUGCACUUCGGGAUAAGCCUGGGAAACUGGGUCUAAUACCGGAUAGGACCACAUUUUGGAUGGUGUGGUGGAAAGUUUUUCGGUGUGGGAUGAGCUCGCGGCCUAUCAGCUUGUUGGUGGGGUAAUGGCCUACCAAGGCGUCGGCGGGUAGCCGGCCUGAGAGGGUGUACGGCCACAGUGGGGCUGAGAUACGGCCCAGACUCCUACGGGAGGCAGCAGUGGGGAAUAUUGCACAAUGGGCGCAAGCCUGAUGCAGCGACGCCGCGUGGGGGAUGACGGCCUUCGGGUUGUAAACUCCUUUCGCUAGGGACGAAGCGUUAUGUGACGGUACCUGGAGAAGAAGCACCGGCUAACUACGUG
rnacentral:rRNA from 1 species